GACGAACUGUCCUAACGUUGUUCGGAAUCACUGGGCUUAAAGGGCGCGUAGGCGGUCGAUCAAGUCAGGGGUGAAAUCCUGCAGCUUAACUGUAGAAGUGCCUUUGAUACUGGUCGUCUCGAGGGAGGUAGGGGUGUGUGGAACUUCCAGUGGAGCGGUGAAAUGCGUUGAUAUCAUGAGGAAGACCAGUGGCGAAGGCGGGUCUCUGGACAGUUCCUGACACUGAGGCACGAAGGCCAGGGGAGCAAACGGG
rnacentral:rRNA from 1 species